GGGCGCUUGGCUCAGCGGUAGAGCAUCGCCUUCACACGGCGGGGGUCGCUGGUUCGAUUCCAGCAGCGCCCA
rnacentral:tRNA from 1 species